GGAAAUAUGGCUUAAUGGUUGAGUUCUUGCCUAGCAUGCAUGAAGCCCUGGGUUCAAUUCCUUAGUACCA
rnacentral:tRNA from 1 species